GUGGGGAAUUGUUCGCAAUGGGCGCAAGCCUGACGACGCAACGCCGCGUGGAGGAUGAAGGUCUUCGGAUUGUAAACUCCUGUUGAUCGGGACGAAAAGCUUUGACCUAACACGUCAAAGACUGACGGUACCGGUUGAGGAAGCCACGGCUAACUCUGUGCCAGCAGCCGCGGUAAUACAGAGGUGGCAAGCGUUGUUCGGAAUUACUGGGCGUAAAGGGCGCGUAGGCGGCCUUCUAAGUCGGACGUGAAAGCCCCAGGCUUAACCUGGGAACUGCGUCCGAUACUGGAAGGCUUGGAUUCGGGAGAGGGAUGUGGAAUUCCAGGUGUAGCGGUGAAAUGCGUAGAUAUCUGGAGGAACACCGGUGGCGAAGGCGGCAUCCUGGACCGAGAUCGACGCUGAGGCGCGAAAGCUAGGGGAGCAAACGGGAUUAGAAACCCCAGUAGUCC
rnacentral:rRNA from 1 species